ncrna:unclassified sequences D12-methyl RNA
CGUUGCGGACUUGCUCCCCGCAACGGGUGAGGCCGGCAUAGCAUAAACCGGUAGGGCGGGAACG